GCAAGUCGAGGGGUAACAGAUAAAAAGCUUGCUUUUUAUGCUGACGACCGGCGCACGGGUGAGUAACGCGUAUGCAACCUACCUUUAACUGGAGGAUAGCCCCGAGAAAUCGGGAUUAAUACUCCAUAAUAUUAUUGAUAUCGCAUGGUAUUAUAAUUAAAGCUUCGGCGGUUAAAGAUGGGCAUGCGUGACAUGAGUUUGUUGGUAAGGUAACGGCUUACAAAGACUUCGAUGUCUAGGGGUUCUGAGAGGAUUAGC
rnacentral:rRNA from 1 species